rnacentral:rRNA from 1 species
UACGUAGGGUGCGAGCGUUGUCCGGAAUUAUUGGGCGUAAAGGGCUCGUAGGCGGUUUGUCGCGUCGGGAGUGAAAACACCGGGCUUAACUCGGUGCUUGCUUCCGAUACGGGCAGACUAGAGGCAUGCAGGGGAGAACGGAAUUCCUGGUGUAGCGGUGAAAUGCGCAGAUAUCAGGAGGAACACCGGUGGCGAAGGCGGUUCUCUGGGCAUGUCCUGACGCUGAGGAGCGAAAGCGUGGGGAGCAAACAGG